AGUGAACGCUGGCGGCGGGCCUAACACAUGCAAGUCGAACGGAAGCACAGGAAGAGUUUGCCCUUACGGGUGGCGAGGGGCGGACGGGUGAGGAAUCCAUCGCAAUCUACUUUUACGUGGGGGAUAACGUAGAGCAACUUACGCUAACACCUCAUACGUUCUACGGGUGAGAGCAGGGGAUAUUCGCACUUUUCCUGUUUGAUUGAGCUGAUGUCGGACUAGCUAGGUGGGGAGGUAAAGGCCCACCAAGGCGACGAUCCGUAGCUGAUCUGAGAGGAUGAUCGGCCACACUGGAACUGAGACACGGUCCAGACUCCUACGGGAGGCAGCAGUAGGGAAUAUUAGGCAAUGGGCGAAAGCCUGAUGGAGCAAUACCGCGUGAGUGAUGAAGGCCUUCGGAUCGUAAAGCUCUGUUGUUGGGAAAGAACAACAGCGUAAUAAACCCCGGAGGUACUGACGGUACCUAAAGAAUAAGCACCGGCUAACUACGUG
rnacentral:rRNA from 1 species